UUAAGGUUCAAACAUCGCCCAGUAGAAGAAGCCUUGUUUGUAAGCCUCUCACAUGUUAGGCUAUUAAGACUGUGAUAUCUUCGGUUAAGGUUCAAACAUCGCCCAGUAGAAGAAGCCUUGUUCGUAAGCCUCUCACAUGUUAGGCUAUAAAGACUGUGAUAUCUUCGGUUAAGGUUCAAACAUCGCCCAAUAGAAGAAGCCUUGUUUGUAAGCCUCUCAGAUGUUAGGCUAAAAAGACUGUGAUAUCUUCGGUUAAGGUUGAAACAUUGCCCUAUUGAGAAAGCCUUGUUCUAAGCCUCUUGUACAUUAGGCGAAAGAGAUAGACUGUAAACUGCCAGGCUAGCAUUCGAUCACUGCCUUAUAGAGAAAGUGUGGCCUCUGUCUGGGUUUAAGUUGAACUACUGACCAACAGAGAAAGACUGCAAACUCCUGCUAGGCUUAUGUCCAACAGCUGGCCUAUGGAGAAAGCCUAUAACCUCUUUGUGGGCUUAAGUUGAACUACUGACCCACAGAGAAAGACUGCAAACUCCUGCUAGGCUUACGUCCAACAGCUGGCCUAUGGAGAAAGCCUGUUAUCUCUUUCUGGGCUUAAGUUGAACUACUGACCCACAGAGAAAGACGUAAACUCCUGCAAGGCUUACAUCCAACAGCUGCCCUAUGGAGAAAGCCUGUUAUCUCUUUCUGGGCUUAAGUUGAACUACUGACCAACAGAGAAAGACUGCAAACUCCUGCAAGGCUUACAUCCAACAGCUGCCCUAGAGAAAGCCUGUUAUCUCUUUGUGGACUUAAAUUCAAGCCUCACCCAACAGAAAGUCUUGAACCCGGGCGGAUAUCGAACCAUCACAUGAUACAGUGCAUUACUUAACUCCCUAACACGUAUCAACCUUCAUGCGCUGGGUAAUUUGCAAGGCCUCUCACCCACCCAACCCACCACGAUGUCCUCAACUCAAAGGGCUGUGAUGUGUGUCUGUGUGGGAGAUUAGCUUAACGAGUGCAGUGACGUGAUGGGAAGACUCUGUUGCGACAUUGAUUUCCUGUUUGCAGACUCGGUUUCUUGUAUUUCCAGUGUGUCACUCUGUUUCUUAUUUUCGUAGCCUUUCAGAGUAACGUAAAAUCUGUGAGUAUAUGAUCAGGCACCUUCUUGCGCUCUCUCCCUCUCUCUCUCCUUGUCAUCAACACACAAGUAUAAUCGGAAACCUUGUACUUUCUCUCUCUCUCUCUCACUAUUUCACUCACUUUCUUAUUUCCAGGUCAUCCAAUCACGUAUUUUGUUCUUAAUACACGGAAUUGUUGACUGAAUGUUCCUUUGUUUAUAUUCCGUAGGGUUUCCGAUCACAUUCUCAUUCUUGGUACACAGUGAAUUCUUGCCAUUAACGCCCUCCUUGUUUUCCUCCUGACACGCCUCCCUUUCUUUACCUUUUGUAGGGUUUUCGAUCGCAAGUUCAUGUUCAUAAUGCAAUCGAAUCCUUUCUCCCUUCACCGUCAAUGUGUUUCCUUCCCUGUCUCAUCUGUAAGGCUUUCGAUAACGUGUUCAGAGUCUAAAUAUACAAUCGAAACCUUACUUCCUUCACUGUCAAUGUAUUUCCUUCACUGUCUCAUCUGUAAGGCUUUCGAUAACGUGUUCACAGUCUAAAUAUACAAUCGAAACCUUUCUUCCUUCACUGACAACAUACUUCCUUCUCUGUCUCAUCUGUAAGGCUUUCGAUAACGUGUUCAGAGUCUAAAUAUACAAUCGAAACCUUUCUUCCUUCACUGUCAUUGUACUUCCUUUGUUUCACUUGUAAGGGUUUCGAUCACACUGAUUUCUGAUUAUUAAAACCUUCCUUCUUUUCAUCAACACAUUUUCCUCUUUCACAUUCUCGGCACUUCAUAUCACAUACCUGUUCACAUUCUUAAAACACACUAUAUAUCCUCACUUUUCCAACCAUUCUUCUUGUCCUCCUUCCACAUCCCAUUUCUAUUUUUAUUUUGAUUGAUUUCGUCAGUCGAUCACACUCGAUGUUACGGCGCAGGAUUAAACUAGUCUUGAUCAUGCUUUGUUCUUGUACCGGUAUCCAGUGAGUGAUAUUAUGCGAGGGGAACAAAAACGGUCUCCUUGAAAUGACAUGAUGCUUGAAGAAUGACCUGUUUCGUGAUUUCCUUCAGUCGACAACCCUCCUCGUAUCACAGCAAGGGAAGAGUAUGCAUUGCCGAAACAAGACCUUCACUACGCAGUCUGAGAUUCACGGAUUAUUGGGUCGUUUUAGACUUUCAGAACGAUGGUACGUGUGUGUUUAUGAUCGGGAACCUUGUAUAUUCACUCUCUCUCUCUCACUCUCUCCCUUUCUCUAGCUAUAACACACACACACACACACACACACACACACGCUUAGAGAUAAGACCCACAGUUGUAGCGUUUUUGUAGCCAUUCUCUCUCUCUCUCUCUCUCUCUCUCUCUCUCUCUCUCUCUCUCUCUCUCUCUCUCUCUCUCUCUCUC